CUGAUUUGCCUCUUGAUCUCCACAAACGGACUAGCUAGCUAUUACUGUUACUUUUACCUUUAGCCCCGGCAUAGUAAGCCUCUUGAUCUCCACAAAUGGAUGGAUAGGUGGCGGCAGCAUCUUUUUUUCUUCUUCUUCAGGGGUAAUGAUACUAGUACUAGAUAGCAUCUGCAGGGGCAGGUUCGUUAACGUUAGCUAUGGAGGC
rnacentral:lncRNA from 1 species